UCCCUGGUAGCUCAGAUGGUAAAGCAUCUACCUGCUAUGCAGGAGACCUGGGUUCAAUCCCUGGGUUGGGAA
rfam:Ovis aries breed Texel chromosome 8, whole genome shotgun sequence.